GUGAGGAAUUUUCCGCAAUGGACGAAAGCCUGACGGAGCAAUGCCGCGUGAAGGAUGAAGGCCUAUGGGUUGUAAACUUCUUUUCUCAGAAAAGAAUUAUGACGGUAUCUGAGGAAUAAGCAUCGGCUAACUCUGUGCCAGCAGCCGCGGUAAGACAGAGGAUGCAAGCGUUAUCCGGAAUGAUUGGGCGUAAAGCGUCUGUAGGUUGUUUAAAAAGUAUUCUGUCAAAGAUUAGGGCUUAACCCUAGAUAGGCAGAAUAAACUUUUAAGCUAGAGUUUGGUAGAGGCAGAGGGAAUUCCCGGUGGAGCGGUGAAAUGCGUAGAUAUCGGGAGGAACACCAAAGGCGAAGGCACUCUGCUGGGCCAAUACUAACACUGAGAGACGAAAGCGAGGGGAGCAAAUGGGAUUAGAAACCCCUGUAGUCC
rnacentral:rRNA from 1 species